GACCGCGUAGCGCAGUGGAUUAGCGCGUUGGACUUCUAAUCCAAAGGUCAAGGGUUCAAAUCCCUUCUCGGUCG